rnacentral:lncRNA from 10 species
AAAAAAAAAAAGAACACAGGACCAGGGCAGUGACUGGAUGAGUCUGUACCUUCACCACUGUGUCCAUGGUACCUGACAUGUAGUAGUUGUACACAGAGUGGUGGAAGAAAUGGACCAUGGGACCCAGGCAGGCUUGGGGAGGGGGGAUGAGGAGAGUGUGUGAUAGAUUUGGGGACAGUGCAGGAGUCUGUGGAUGGAUAUCUGUGUGAGUGAUGUGCAUCUGACAGUGCAGAAGUCUCAGUGAAGUCCUCAUUAGGAGUGCCUGCUAUAUGUCUGGCAGCAUUCCAGGUAUCUGGAAAGGGGUAUUGAGAGAAUAAGAAGUGUGAUCUGGGGGACUAGUCAGACAGUGGGAUGAUUGUAUUUAGGAAGUCACAGCACAGAGAGCUCUGGGUGAUGGGGAGGUUCAAGGAAUGGGUAGUCGAAGGGUAGAGAUGCUUCCUGCGGAUGUGGAGUCGGUGGUCUGGGAGGCCAGGGUAUUGGUUGGGUUAUCCACGUGGACAGUGAGAUCACCCAGAUGGUGGCAGGAGGUGGGAGAGAGGGGAGCAUUAUGAGCCAGGUGCGAAAGUACCCACAUGUGGUGUCCUCUCAGCUACACUGCUCACUAAGGGACAGGGCCCUCAGGCUAUUAGAGAUCCACCUCCCUGUUUUGGGGGGGUACUGCCCUGGACCACCUUUCUCCCCACGAAGCCCUCGCCAUCUCCAAUCCCAACAUCACUGGGCUUCUAAUCACUGGGACGAUCUUGUGGACAAUGAGGCCCCGGUAAUGGCCACCUCUCCUCUCCUGUAGAAUCUAUAAGCAAUAAAGGAAGGAUGUUUAUUGCUUAGGGAACAGAAUUUUAAAAAGAGAAACACAGCUCCAUGUGCAGCAAGACAGCUCCUUACCUGUGGCUGUGAAUUGAGACCUGCUGAAGUGAUCUUCACUAGAAACAGAGGCUCUUCCAUUGAAGAUUAGGAUAUGGUCUCCUCAGGGCCUGGGUAGUACCCAGGACAGGUAGACAAAAUCACAGGCAGCUUUGGCCUCCUAGGAAGGACUCUCAGUGGGUACUGUGUCUAGGGCCCCCUCAGAUUCUCUGGUGAUGUCCAUCUGAAAAUGGAAGGGGUGGGCGAUGAUGAGGUGGUGAGGAACUCAGGGACUGUGAUGCUAAGAAAAAUGAGUUCCAAGUGUUUGAUAGAGUUAAGUGUGACCCAUAGUCAUGCAGAACUCUUCUUUCCUCUUGCCUUCCUUCCACAGGACACUGGGCUUGAAGAGCACCCGCCUCUUCCUCCCUUCCCACAAAGCCUAGAAUUUGACAGGAGAAGGGGUUGGCUCUUCCUCACUCCUCACUCCCCGCUCCUCAAGUGUCAGACUGAAGGCAGGGGGAAGGAGUGGCAGGGGAAAUGAGAACAGACCCUUGUUCAUGUUUUUGCCAUCUUUAUCAGCCUGGAGGCCGUUACUGUGACGAAUGAACUCCCACAAUUUUCAGUUUUUUCUUCAGUAUAUUAUUAAGUAAAUUCCAAAUAAUUGUAGAUUGUAUCAUGUAUCUUCCCCUUGGCUAGUGGUGGCCAGAGCCCCUUUAGCAGCUGCUCCACCCAUUUUUUUUUUUAUUAUCACCCUUUAAGAAGCCUUUUUAGACAUUUUUAUCCUAAUUGUCCUUCCCCAUGUAGUUUUAUUUACACAGAUAUACUGUAGAUAUCUAUUUAAUAACUAUGUAUAUUUGUGCUUUAUACAUAAAAAAUAAACCUUACUCUUUUUAUUCAAUACAGGGUUAAUAAUGAAUAAAAUAUUUAAGUAAAAAGUUAAUGUGAAGGUAAAUCAAUGUUGAACUGGUGCAUAACAUCCAUCCCUUCUACUAUGAUAAUUUUGUUCAUUGGCUCAUUGAACAAGCACUGGGUGUCUGGAGAAGAGGUUGACAGACUUCCACGGGCUGGGUAAUCAUGCACCUUUUGGUGAGCACUCACAUGGGACACAAAUAUCCCCACACAACCCAUCCUGAGAGAUCUGUCCACUUGCUCCUCAUAUAUAUGCAGGCAAAUCAAUUAGAACUGUGCCUUGCACAUAAUGAGUACUCUUAAGUAUUUUAUUACAUGGUCAUUAUUGCUAUCAAUUCUC